rnacentral:rRNA from 1 species
UACGGAAGAUGCGAGCGUUAUCCGGAUUUAUUGGGUUUAAAGGGUGCGUAGGCGGAUAUUUAAGUCAGCGGUGAAAUGCUUCAGCUCAACUGGAGAAGUGCCGAUGAAACUGGAUAUCUAGAGUAUAAAAGAGGUAUGCGGAAUGCGUGGUGUAGCGGUGAAAUGCAUAGAUAUCACGCAGAACCCCGAUUGCGAAGGCAGCAUACUGGGCUAUAACUGACGCUGAAGCACGAAAGCGUGGGUAUCGAACAGG